rnacentral:rRNA from 1 species
GUAGGGUGCGAGCGUUGUCCGGAAUUACUGGGCGUAAAGAGCUCGUAGAUGGUUUGUCGCGUUGUUCGUGAAAUCUCGCGGCUUAACUGUGAGCGUGCGGGCGAUACGGGCAGACUUGAGUACUGCAGGGGAGACUGGAAUUCCUGGUGUAGCGGUGGAAUGCGCAGAUAUCAGGAGGAACACCGGUGGCGAAGGCGGGUCUCUGGGCAGUAACUGACGCUGAGGAGCGAAAGCGUGGGGAGCGAACAGGAUUAGAUACCCUGGUAGUCCACGCCGUAAACGGUGGGUACUAGGUGUGGGUUUCCUUCCUUGGGAUCCGUGCCGUAGCUAACGCAUUAAGUACCCCGCCUGGGGAGUACGGCCGCAAGGCUAAAACUCAAAGAAAUUGACGGGGGCCCGCACAAGCGGCGGAGCAUGUGGAUUAAUUCGAUGCAACGCGAAGAACCUUACCUGGGUUUGACACGCACAGGACGCCGGCAGAGAUGUCGGUUCCCUUGUGGCCUGUGUGCAGGUGGUGCAUGGCUGUCGUC